CAGUCACCUGCUUGAGUUGGUCCACCCA
rnacentral:sRNA from 1 species